GUUGCGGCAGCAAUGGCGGCGGCAGCAGCGGUGCUGACAUUGGGACAGCGGUGUCAGGACAGCGGUGGCAGCAAGAGCUGUGGGACUGGCUGUGGGUGUGGCACCAUGGCCUUUGCUCUGUGUCUCCUCCUUCUGCUCCUCUUGGCAGUGGCCCUGCCUGACAGGGCUGCCCAGGCUGCUCCAUGGUGAGCACGGCGAGCAGAUGAGGGUGGUAGGAAGGCUUCUCCAGCAGCUUGGCUUCAUGAAGAUUUUCUGCCUCUGGAGCCUCAUGCAGGUGUGUCUGCAGUGAGGACUUUCCCAGCUCCUGGGCUGGUUGCUGCACGCAAAGCCCGGCUCCCAUCACAGGGAGAUGAACCAAAAGGCUGUGCUGAAAGCAGUGUUUCCCGGAGGAAGCAGUGACUCAUGGGCAGCCUCUGCUGCAGGAAGGGAGGCCAUGCCAGGCACAGUCA